UACGUAGGGGGCAAGCGUUGUCCGGAUUUAUUGGGCGUAAAGAGCGUGUAGGCGGCCAUGUAGGUCCGUUGUGAAAACUCGAGGCUCAACCUCGAGACGCCGAUGGAAACCAUGUGGCUAGAGUCCGGAAGAGGAGAGUGGAAUUCCUGGUGUAGCGGUGAAAUGCGCAGAUAUCAGGAAGAACACCGGUGGCGAAGGCGGCUCGCUGGGCCAGUUCUGACACUCAUCCGCGAAAGCGUGGGGAGCAAACAGG
rnacentral:rRNA from 1 species